CCUAUGACCAAUUUUUCCUGUUUUCAUACAAAAACUGAUCACGAAAAUAAAGUUGUUCAUAAUGAUGGUCUGAGCUUCCCCCUGCAAGGUUGCCAAUGAAUUCAUUUAGAUACACCUGUAUAUCUCUCAAUAUACCUACUACUAUUAUUUUCUGAAUCAUUCGUGUUUGUUAGUGUUAAUUAUUUCUAUUUUAUUUUUCAGAAAUAUGUAGAAAAAUCAACGAAGAUGUAACUGAAGACAGUCUAAAAGAAAUUAUAAGUGAUUGGCUAAAUCAAGCUAAAGUUAGACUUUCAAAAAGAGCAGAAACACAAAAUAAAGAAAAAAACCAAUAGCGGCGACCAUGAAACCGAUUUUUUCUCAUUUAAAGUAA